UUUAGGCCAUCCGUACUUGAUUGAAUCUGAGUUGUCCAUGCACGUGCAUCUGAGCCGUCCGUGCGCGUGCAUCUGGGCCGUCCGUGCGCGCGGGGACGCAUCUGAGCCGUCCGAUCGCGUGCAUGCGGAUCGCCCACAUGGCCCGUUCCCGGGUCAACGUGGCCUUGCCAUGCGGCAGGUCCUGGUUGGCCAGGGCUGCUGACUGGGCCGCUGACGUGGCUGCUGAUGUGGCGCUGACGGGGCACAAUUUUUCUAAUUUGCGUUUGG
rnacentral:lncRNA from 1 species